AGAGACAUUUUGGGUUGUGUGUUGUCCGCUACAGCCUACUGUCUGUGUAUGUCUUCUCCGUUCAGUAACCCGUUGGCCAGCGUGGCUCUGCCGCCUUGCAAUACUAACUUUUUUCAAAGAAGGGUAACUCUAAAACAUCCAAAUUGUCUUAACUGUUAGUCUAAUAAUUAAAUCAGUGUAUUUCAAUCUCUGCGCACACUAGUACAACUCAGACCUCUGAGGCGAAUACCAUGAUUCCCGAGUAGAUUAGAUAUGGAAAGCUCGAGUCUACUUAACUUUAGUUUAAGAGGAAGUGGUGUACAGUUGUAAAUGUAGGAUACUGUAUCCUUAAUGUAUCCGCUUCACACUGAGAAUCGUGACAAUCUAUUUCCCACGUCGUUCACCUUUUUUUUUUUUAAAUAACUCGCUACACAAAAAAAUAAACUGAACGAAAUGAGAGAGAGAGAGAGAGAGAGAGAGAGAGAGAGAGAGAGAGAGAGAGAGAGAGAGAGAGAGAGAGACUCUAGGACGUGUUGCCACUAGACAAGUUAUUUCUUGUUGUCUCGGGAUGAUCGGACCUUUCCAGACAUAGAAAGAGCUCUCUGAUUAGCCAGAACAAUAUAUUUGUCAGGUAUGCCUGUCAGCAAACUUCAGUGAGGCCAGGGGGGCUUUCCAGUAGUCUGUCAGCUGAGCAUUGUUUGUGUGAGAGAGGUUGAGUGUGUAUCAUUUAUGAACCCGUGCGUUUCUCUUCAAAAUCUAGGAAGUAUCCCUACAAGACACUCAUAAUGUCAACUAAGCAAUUAUUAUUAUUGAAUUUUUUGGGGUGUCACAAUAACACUAUGCUUCUCAUUUCUCGGAAUUGAUGCAGCAUCAUGGAAAACUACAAUGUGUCCCUGUCUUACUCUGCACAUUCAUUGAAUAAGUACUUUUCUUUCAGGAGCACAUUUCUCUUUAAGUCGUGCCUGGUAGGGAACACAUUUGGCACCGGGCCAUGUGUUGGUGACUGACUGGCUGACAAAGUGUGUGUGGGACGCUUUCCACUCUGGGUCGUUCCCCUCCCCCACCCUAUCCCCUCCUGACUAUACAGAGGCUUUCCUCCGCCACCCCUCGACCACAUUCCUGCACAACCCCUCCCUGGAGCAGCCGUCAGCCCGCGGUGGGGGCUGUGACAUCACACACAUCCCACCACAAGUAUCCCUUUUACUAGAAAGGCCGUGCUUGUCGUAGAAAGUAGGGUAGCAGUAGGAGGCUGUUGGAGAGUGGAUGGGCCGGAGCGGUUCAGGGAGGGAACGGGCUAAAAGCGGACCCAGCCUGGCCUGUGUGUGUGUUUGGUGUUAGCGCGUGGUCUGUUUGUGUUAUUUGCUUUGCAGAUUAUGUACAUUUGUGCGGUACCCUAGAAGGAGCAGAGAAACCUACACUGUGAUCCGACCUUGGAACAAGCGUUAAUUAUCGGUUGUCACUUGUUGGUAAGUGUGUGGUUGACUGCUCCGCUGUUUAAUUCUGUGGACACAAACACACGACUGAAUGUUCUUCUGCAGUGCCAUUAGCUUACCUACCGGCUACACUCUAAUCCUCCACAUGGGAGCCUUUAAAUAGUUGAAUUAUUAAACUGCUGGGGGUUAUCCUUCGCUGUGUGGUCCUGGUGGUGAUGGGGGGGACCAGACAAUCAGAUCACUGGCGUUAACCCUGACUCAGUGUGGAUUGUUUGAUACGGCGGACACAGACUGCAGGAUGAGAUCUGAUAUAAAUAGGGUGUGUGGGUGGGUAUGUCUAUAGGAUCAAAAAAAUGUAAUCAUCUAACUGUUAAUCUUGGCGGUGCGGGAUUAGGUCUUGUCUUUGCUCGAUAAGUCCUCUCUCUCUUUCUAUCUAUCUUUCCUGCUUAGUGCAGCGCUGCUUUACAUUGCCCCCCCCUCCCCACUGUAAGCACACACUCUCUAUUCUGGGUCCUUCACCACUCAACUCAUUACAACGCGUGGACAAGAGGAUUUUCAGCCUUGAGCCAAAGAAUGGAUAUGAUUAAGAGGGAUAUGACCAGGUUGUGUCGUUUGUUACCAUGGCGUAGUGACCGGGAGGGAAGCCAAGAUGUGCGUUUGAAUCCUUCUUAGAAGUCACUUUUUCCCCCUCAUCUUACAGGAAACUAAAACCAAUCAGCGUUGUUUACCUGCCCUUUGUUGCAGCUGAUUCAAGAUGUCCUCGGAGUAUUGUUGUGGUCCACAGUGUGUGUGUGUGUUUGUGUGCAUGUGUGAGUCAUCUGAUAGGCAAUAAGGAACUAGUAUCUGCUUUUCGUCGUCCUCCGGCAGUUUCAGCCUUCAUUGUGGCUCAAAGGUUGUGCUAAUGCUUCAUUAAGUACAGGAGAUGACUAGAGAACCCACGCACAUUUAAAAACACACAAAACCACACACUGAUAGACACCCAACCAUGCCAUGAAAUCUUUAACACUGUUGGCAUUCUCACAUCUCUCCACUUUUGUGCUUGUUUGUCAUUUUCCACUUUUGCUCAUUUUGAAAGUUACCAUUACCACCACGUGUCUGUGCCAGUCUCUCUUUGCUGUGAUGGGAUAAGGAUAAGGACUGGUGGGUGUGUGUCUUUGUGGGAUGGAGGUGUGUGUGUGUGUGUGUGUGUGUGUGUGUGUGUGUGUGUGUGUGUGUGUGUGUGUGUGUGUGUGUGUGUGUGUGUGUGUGUGUGUGUGUGUGUGUGUGUGUGUGUGUGUGUGUGUGUGUGGGGGGGGGGGGGGGGGGGAGGAGUGGCGAGACAAUGGUGCGGGCAGUGGGGCCGACGUGGGGCCAGGGACUCUCAUUGUCCUCAUAAUGAUGCAGAGCAGCUCAUAGUUUGGUGGCGCUUUUGACAAGUGAAGAGACCUCACUCCGGCAUGCCUGCGGAACUGAGUGUGUGAGAGAGCGGGAUGGGGGGAGAGAGAGAGGUGGGCGAGCGGAGAGAGGGAGUGGAUCCCCUUGUCGGUGGUUCAGAAAAGGGGCCUGAUGAUGAUUGCGUUCUUCCUCCUUUUGUGCCGCAACGCAAGACGGCGUCCAAAUCCCCAAUGGCCCCGCAGCGAAGAGAUGAUUGAUGUGUCAUAUAGCUGUUUUACUAGUUAGCCUAGAUUCACAGGCACACACACACACACACCUUAUGAUGUGACACAGCAGGGGACUGAAGGGUAGCUAAUGACUUUGAGAAUUAGAGGAAUCUUUUUUAAAUGACUAAAGAUAAUAUAACGUAAUAAGUAUACCAGUUCUUUAGUGGGCUGAUACAGUACUGAUCUAAUUUGUUGUUCAUGAGUGGAUAUCUCAAUAUGUAUCUAUGGAAACUUUUAACAUGCCUCCCAAACAUCAAGGAAAACUAUUUGACCCAUAAAUCCAGCUUCGGUUUGUCUUGUUGUUUGGGUUGCUUCCAGGCCCGCCAUCAUUGUGUCUAUGUAUUGAUAUGUACGUUUUCACUGUAUUGAUGAGGACAGUGAUUUAUCUCUAGAAACCAUUCACACUACUGAAUCAACAAACCAUUACAUGAUCCUCUUGGGGCCAACCUUGUUUUGUCAGUUAUAUUAUUACCCUGUAAUAAACGUAUUUCUAAACUACUUCUAAUAUAUAUCUCCUUCGAUAUAAAUGUAUAUUUGUAUUUUUAUCCAGCACUUUUGAUCUUUCAGGAAUAGUUUGGCCGGAUUAGGCAGUGACUGCUGGCGAUUUCCCUAAUUUCACUCUUUCUUACUCUUGUGUUUUUCCGUGCAGCUGACAAUUCAAUUGUUGAACUUGAACUUGAAUGAAAUGGCACUGUGGCCAGGAUCAACUCACACCGCUCACACAAAUAUACCCAGAAUGCUUUGGUCGGUCUCUCAAAAAACGAGUUGGCCAACCUUUUGAAAUAUUCUAGGGAGGCAUCAACGGACUCUUAUGAAAUACGUAGUAAGAGAAAAACUCAAAGAAAAGCGGAUGUCUCUUUUGCUUACUUGGCGCCAAUCAGACAAGCCUUAAAUUCUGAACGCUGCGUCGCCGGUUGACAAAUGACCUCUGGUGCCGAGGACUACAGCUGUGGACAUCUCUGUAUUUAGUCAGGAAUGCAGCUAAAAAGUGAACAAUGUGUUCAGCCACUCAAUACUAAUGGCCCAACGCACCAUUAGGCUGGGGCUCUGUGGACCAGGGCCGGUCAGUAAGGCAGGGUUACCCUUGACCGCCUGUCUGCCUCUGACCGCUGUCCGGCCGGGGCUUCCGCCGCCCCCCCCCCCCCCCCCCCCCUCCUCCACAGUGAGCAACACAUUAGGGCCACCACUGGUCAAUGACCUGCAUGGAUUACCUCUCGGACAGAUACCCGGGCAGAGGGCAGCCGAUAAGAGAUAGCUCCCUCCCCACUAAAAAAAACCCUCAAAAGGUCAAUAAUAUUAACCUUUUAUUCUUUUAACGAUAUGAAACCGCUGGACAUUUAUUAGCCAGCUGUGUGUUUGUAUGUUUGUCAGUGACUGUAUGCGUGUUGUGAGCACAUUUGUACUUGUUCUUUACCUAUAAGAAGGGCUUUUUUUUUCUUUAUUCCCAUUGCUAAAGCGUAUGUUAGUAUUCAGCCAGCCUAUCGUAAAGGACGUUGAUGCAUUGGCUUCUCAUUUGACACAACGCAUGAGUGACUAUUGAUAGAUCAUUGUAAUGAUUUAUUUUGUUUGGGGGGUGGGUGGGACAUGUGUGAAUGCGAACCACAUGCGCUGGCACACACACAUCGCACACACACAUUUGUGCAUGUGCACACGCACACUGCAGCUUUUUAUUGGAAUUCUUGGACCUCCCACAUUCCUGCUUAGAAGGCUAAUAGUUGCCGUGUGUGCUGCAUUACAUUCAGAGGGGAAAACACAACAGUCACUAUCUCACCAAGCCUUCCCUCAGCAAAUACUCAUAGCGACGUGCAAAGGCAUGCACGCCUUCAAACACAGACGCAUUUUAACUACCUCCAAAGCAUGGUUGAACCCGGCCCGAGACAAAACAGCCCACAUACACUCACUACAGUCAAACAAAACCAUUAUUAGAUCAAAUUCCUUUCGUCUGCCAUGUAGUAGAAAUACAAUUCAACAUUGAUCCAUGCAUGUUGCUUUUGUUCAAAUCCUCAGGAGAGGGCUAUGAGGGUUGUCGCUCCUACUGCCAGGAACACUUUAAACCUGUUCUGUUUGGAUUUUAUGCCCUUACACCUGAAACUGGAUGAGAAGAACCAGGACUUACCUGUUCAGUGGCCUUAAAAGACUGUUUCAAUGUACACCUCCUGUCUUAGUCCUGCAAAACCGGGAAAGGGAUGUGACUGGCUCUAGUAUUAUGGCUUAAAUCAGUAUGCAUGACAAGUUAGGAAAUGCAGCAUGAAACAACUCAGAUUAGAAAAGAAAGUUAUUUUUCCAAAUUCAAAAGCUGCGUUUGCGGUGUGUGAGUGUGUGUUGGUCUUUAUUGUAACAUAGUACAGGCCAGGGAGUUAACUCAGGCACAUUGUUGCAGCAGUUACUCAAGUUUGUCUGAAGUCACGUCAAGCCUGAAAGUAUGAGGAGAUGAGAUCAGUAUACUUUGUGUCACAAAGGGUACACACACACACACACACACACACACACACACACACACACACACACACACACACACACACACACACACACACACACACACACACACACACACACACACACACACACACACACACACACACUGGAUGUUGUGUACUUAGUGUAAUUAAUACCCCUGAUCUUCUCCCAUUAUUUAUAGUAGUUUAGGUCACUCUGAGAUCCCAGAGUGCUGUGUUAAUGUGUUGCAUCCCAGUCCAGAUCAGAACAACAGGAUUGGGCAUUGUCUAUGGCUUUAGCUCUACCUCAGAUAACCUGGAAUCAGCAUUUAUUGUUCUAACUGAACUUUAGGAUUGGGAUUAUUGCCUUUUACUGUAUCAUACUUUAGAAGUACGGUAUCUAUUUUUCUUCAUUCAUUUAGAUUAAUGUAAGACCACAAGUCCAACACACUGCGUGUGAGUCUGUUACUUUGUGAAGUUGUGUGUUUCUCCAUUUUCGCCAUGUCCACAGUUUAUGUGUGUGUGUGUGUGUGUGUGUGUGUGUGUGUGUGUGUGUGUGUGUGAGUGUGUGAGAGAGUCAGUGGGCACGGUCCAUCCCUGAAUCAGCGGGGAGGGUGCAGUGGUCCUCACCCCUGUCUCACCCCUGUGGUCCGGUGCAGUCCUCAGACCCUGCCUGCAGAAAGUCAGCAGUGUUGGAAUAGUUCCCCUCGCUAUUUUUAUCUGGGAAUCUGCCUGUUCGCCUGACCCAGGGAGAGAGCGAUUGGAGGAGGGCAAAUAUCUGAUCUAAUUUCAGGGGAUGGGAAGUCACCAAAUGCACUUCUCAGGCAGCUGGAUAGUGGCCACUGUGUGUGUGUGUGUGUGUGUGUGUGUGUGUGUGUGUGUGUGCGGGGGAAAGGGUAUGGCUGUUUGCGAGAGUGUGUGUUUGGCAGUGGGUAUUUUGGAGUGUGUGUUGGUGGGUGUGUGUGGUUGUACACUUGGCAGUCGUAUCUUGAAAUGCCGCCUGGCGCCACCUUUUACUUUCUCUCUCUUUUGACUCCUUUUGACUCGCUCCCUCUUUCUUUCUCGCUCUCCCUCUUUAUUUCCCCUCUACAUUCCCCCUCUCUUUUUCUCCCCUCUCUAUUCACCCCAUGUAAAGAAUUUGAGAUCAAAUGGAAGUAGUUUUCUUUUUGCCAUCUCUCUCACUAAUUCUGUAUGACUCUCUGUAUCUCUCUUUCUCUGUAUCACACUUGCUCUCUCUUAAUAUUUUCCAUGUACAGACUUGUCGUGCAUGUCAUUCAGUGCGUUGGACUUUGAGCCAACUUUGUGUUGGAGAACGAGAGACUGACUGAGUAGGCAGAGUGAGAAAGAAAGGUGUGUGUGUGUGUGUGUGUGUGUGUGUGUUGUACCUCAAAGAUACUCCCAGAAAACAAUCAUUUGUUUUGCGCACAGCCGCCCAGACCUCUCAUCGGAAACAUUUAAACACUUCCCUUGUGUAUUAAAUACACAUAUUCAAUUAAAAGCUAGCCAGCUCUGUCUUAAAUCCAGGGCAGUGGCGUGUCCCACACAAACAGAGCUGCUGCUUCUUCUUCUGCGCUUCCAUGUGUGGUUGUGUAUGUUUGUGUAUUCAGCCACUUCAGCCACAGCCUAAUUGCCAGCCGAGAAAGGCCUUCUGUUUGUCAGGGAUAGCACCAGUGAACUUUGAAUGUUUAGUUUGCUCUGCUCCAUGCUCACAAAAACUUGCAUGUGCGUCAUGAACAUUCGUGUGUGUGUGUGAUACAUUUAACGAGGACAUCCUCUGUCUUCUAUCAGUGGCACUGGCGACUGAUGGAUGUUGAUUCUCCAUUUGGGUGAUCGGAAGUGUGGGCAUCGUCUGGGGAACCCACGCACGCGUAUGGUGGGAUCGUUGCCAACCUGCCAGGAUUGAUUGGCUUUGUCUAUGAUCUAUAUCCUGCAGAACGCUACAUCUCUACACCGCUCCUCUAUACCGCUCCCCUCUAUACCGCUCCUCUCUAUACCUUGACUCCACUCGCUCGACCCAUCCCUAUGCGCCCCCCCCCCCCCCCCCCCCCAUACCCCUCUCCAUUGCUUGGCCAUCAUUUCUGUGCCACCAAUCCAUGAGCCAGUCCCCUGUGGCCUCUCCUCUUCCAUUAGCUUCCUCCCCUACCUCCUCCUCUUCCUCCAGAUCACUCAACCCCUACUCCCCAGCCUCUCUCUCUCUCUCUCUCUCUCUCUCGCUCUCGCUCUCUUGCUCUAUCUCGCUCUCUCUCUCUCUCUUCCUCUUCCCCACCAUCCUUCUUUACAUUCUAGCUUUUCCAACAUGGCCGCUGCACCCACAGUACAGAAACCUGUUUGCCCUUGACCAGUCCUGGCCUUGGGAAGGGGUUGUUGAUAAACCCUGAAACUACAAUCUGUCAUUAAUUAAGUCUGCUGUUGUUUCUACACAUUCACACACUCAAAGUAUCAAGUCCAACCGCUAACAGAUUUCCUUAAUGAUUAGUCAUAGAGAACUUGACUUUGACUUUACUUGCUCAUCUUAAAUGCAAAUGAGUUCCUGCGCGUGUACAAUCACAGUCACACUCACACCAAAACACACACAUAGACACUCGGAGGCUCUCCAUCAUUCCCCAGGCUCCUGAGGGAGGAUGUUAUGGGAGUGACUCGCUCUCACUGCAGGACAAACAUCAGACCCCGCUUGUUUCAGCCAUCGGUCAUCGGCUACUUUAAAUCAUAAGACUUCCCUCCUUCAGGACACUGGUGUUUUCCAAAGUGUGUUUUCCAAAGUGUGUUUUCCAAAGUGUGUGUGUGUGUGUGUGUGUGUGUGUGUGUGUGUGUGUGUGUGUGUGUGUGUGUGUGUGUGUGUGUGUGUGUGUGUGUGUGUGUGUGUGUGUGUGUGUGUGUGUGUGUGUGUGUGUGUGUGUGUUGGCCUGAGAGAGGCUGAAUAAUACAUGGUAUCAUUGGAUAAGUAUUUAUAGGGAAGCAACGUGAUUAAACUUUUAUGACAAAACUGGUCUUCGGUGCUGCCUAGCAUAUAGCAUAUCCUGUUCCUUUCCCGCUGAACGCAGCAUGCAGCCACACACACGCAUGCCUGCACACACGGGCAUUCACAUACACGCAUUCACAUGCACUAUCCCAGCGGCCCACCAGUCCAGCUCACUAAUCCAAUUACUACUAUAGAAGACCAUUCCUCUCAAUUGUAUAUCUUUCUUAGUAAACCCGCUUGUUUCUUUCCUACGCCGUAUGCAGAUGGUAAAUCCUCCUAAUCUUACUAUAAUACUUCUACUCUAAUACCACUGACAUCUAGGAAAGACAUCUUAAUAAUUGUUCUAUAUCGUUUAUCCGCUAUAUGUCUCUUUCCUUCAGAUAUUUCCAGUUUAGAGAGGUUUGUUUGCAUCCCGGCCUCCAACUACGUACUCUAAUCUUCUGUCUCAUCUCCACAGUGGCAUUCGCAAACCUGAAUGCCUGCUGUUGUUUUUGUAACUUGUAAUCCCUUCCUCUCCGUCUCUUCCCAUACAUUCUGAUGAGGGCUUUCCAAUCUCACACUGCCCUUUUCCUCCAUCCCAAAUAUUUACAUUCUCCCUCUACUCUGGUUGGCUGGGCAUGACAUCUGCUACAAGCAGCUUGACAAUCCCUGUGUGUGUGUGUGUGUGUGUGUGUGUGUGUGUGUGUGUGUGUGUGUGUGUGUGUGUGUGUGUGUGUGUGUGUGUUAGUCCUGCUCUGGGUCAUAUUACUUUUAUCCAUUUUUAGAAUCGGACGAGGCCAUGUAUGAUAUAACGACCGGGCAGGCUCAUGCACACACACGCACACAGUGAGUGUUGUUUCAGGGGAUUACAGCGUUUGAUGAGAACAGUGAGCUGAAACCCCUGACGAGACUUCUGUGUGAGUGCGUGUCUAUGUGAGUAGGGAAAAAUGUGGCAGUAGAAGUUAAGGAGGUGGAUGUAAGUUCACAAGGACAUCAACUCGGAGUCACGUGAAAAUGCAAGGAGCCGUUAGCCUAGCCUUGCUUAGCCUAGCCACGGCUGAGAUGGAGAGACAGAGACACGGUGUGGCACUUCCCAUGAAAACAAGAAGAAAACUAGUUGCAAGCACAUGUAACGGCGUGCGGGAGGUAUGCUAAUGUAACGGCGGGCAUGGAUUACAUGGGUAACAGUGUGCCACUGUGCGAGAGGGGUAGCGCUGGAUGAAUCAGGGGUCUGUUCAGCGGGAGGUUGUAGCGUUUGGCAGGGCAAGUGUGCAGGUCGCUAGGACUCCGGGAGUCCUCCUGAAUCAUUUCUGUCCCACAGCGCAGAUUUCCUUUUAAUGCGUUAGAGGCCCCGGCGCUGUGCCUUCUUGUUGUUCCCUCCCCGGCUUCACCUUGGACUGCCCAAGCAUCGGUUAUAUACAACUUUUAGGAAAAUCGUUUUUUAUUUCGGGGCUUUUUUAUUUUUUAUGUGCUGCUACAUCACCUAGACCUACACCUGCCUCGUGCUGCCCACUCACUCACACCACACACACUGGGGUCUUUGUGCUGCAUUCUCAAACACCAGCCAACCACAUGCACGCACGCGCACACACACACACACACACACACGUGCGCACGCUCCCAUACACACACGCGCUCCCAUACACAGCGUCCCUCCAGCUGGCACUGAGGCUGUGUGUGUUUGUAUGCGUGUGGGUGUUCUCCUGGGAAGGUAUUAUACUUGUCUGACCCAAGUAUUAGCAUGUUGCCUCACAAAGCUAUAUAGAAUGUGUGUGUGUCAUUAAUGCAGAAGGCGUAGAUGCCUCAUGGAUCUAUGUCACAUCUAUUGUGUGUGCGCACAUUUCGAGGAGUGAUCAGGUUUGGCAUUGUACAGCUGUAAUGCAUCCAAGUUGUGUCUGAACGGGGAAUCCCCCAGUCCACCCUACACCUGGGAACACUAAUCUGAUGUGAGCAAUGAGUACUUUUAAAAGGUACGUAAAACAAUGGAUUUACAUGCCUGUGUGCUUGCAUUUGAGUGUGUGUGGUUGAUCAGGGAAUGUCCAACCUCCUCUCCUCUCCUGGCCCAAAGUUGCAUUGAGUAAGGAAUUACCUCAUGUUGUGUACAUGUUAUACACUGUGCAGAAUAAUCAGUGUUUGUCCACGCAGCAACUUACAUAACCCCGUCCAACAGUACACUGGAAGAGGGAUAAAGUUCACGACUAUCUCUCACAUUCGGUUCCCUCUCUCUCAAUGUGCCAGCUCACUUCCUUCCUCACUCAUUUUUCUUCCUAUUUAUUAAUGAAUGUCCUGUCUCUCUUUCUGACUCUAUCUCUGUCAGGCACUCUCUCUCUUCCUCCCUCCCUCCUGCCAUCUCUCCACCUUGCCCUAUGCCUCUGUGUUUGAAGAAGAGCGGUGCUGUACUGAAAUAUUGGAGGCCUUUCUGCCCUUUAAAACUCUUUGAUCAGACGCUUUUAUUUUGACGGCCCUGGCCACACACCCUUUUCCCUUCAUGAAAUAAAGCAGCGGAUAGAUUUUGGCGUUGGCGUUGCUAAAUCAGAACAGAUGUAAGAAUCCAGUGUUUUAAUUUCACAUCACAGCACAAAGACUAACCCACAUCCUCUUUGUGAUAAAGAUACGACCAUGAGAAGGUGCCACUCGCUCUUAGUAAGGUAACCUUUAUCACAAAAGAUUCAUGUUGGUUCCCUAUAGCUCCCCUUCUGCAUUAUUAGUGAUUUAUUGUUAUGAUAUGAAUGUUGUCAGGUUUAUGAGGUAGUUAUUAAAUAAAGUUAACCAAAGUACAUCUGUGAGCAUAGCCGUCCCGAAACCACUGAGGACCUGUUUUCUCUCAGACCUGUGUCAUUUACAAGCUAGGAAGAAUCAGUGUGAGACUGGCUGCCUUUAAACCUCUCUUCCUGGAUAACUGGCCUACUGUCAGUGAAGGUUACAUGAUAGCGGAAAUGGUUAUGGCCGUGCAGAUGAGGAGUACCUGAAUAAAGAACAUCAGACAUCCAGUGAUGAUCAACACCUACAAGAAUAAACCCGACAGUACCAUUGUCAAGGCUCAUCUCCGGUCUAGAGUACAGAAUUGAAAUGACAGCAUCAGUUCAACAAUCACUAUACCUCUGAAUUCAUUCCCUAAAAUCAUGAGAGGGAGGGAUUUUAUAUUCAGUAUCAGCAAAACAGUGAUUUAGUUGUAGCAAGACUGAGGCGGAGUGAUGCAAGUCCCAGUCCUGUUUACUCUGCACAUCAGCAUUCAUUGAAGGCCCAAUACAAUGAUUCGGUCUGAGCUCACGUUUCAAUUGAAAGAGCAGCAUGGAACAUUAACAUUGUCAAAGAACGUUGAACAAUUCACAAAUUGUGACAGAAAAUAGGACACAAGUAGUGUAGGAAAUUAACGUCAAUAUAAAAAUUGUACAAAGAAACAUCUCUCCCCCCACCUCCUCCCCUCUGUCUGUGAGGUUACAACAUUACCAGUCUCUAUCCUCCUCGCUGCCUGGCUCUUGCAUAACCGCCAGCCGGAUUUGCGCCAGCUGAGAGAGAGAGAGAGAGAGAGAGAGAGAGAGAGAGAGAGACUGACUGACUGACUGACUGACUGACUGACUGACUGACUGACUGACUGACUGACUGACUGACUGACUGACUGACUGACGUGAUCUAUGCUUGUGCCCGUGUGUGUCUAUCAGCGUGUGCUGUCUCAACACAGGCAGCACGGAUAAUCACUGUUUAUCCCCCAGUUAGCAUUGGGCUGCCAGGAGAGAGCACGCGCCUACAGCACGGCCAAACACAAACACGCACAACAGGGGAGACUGUGAUGAUGUACAAAUUUGGACAUUGAGGCCAAAAGCUCUCACAGAAGAGCAGGGACCACGAGCCUACUUGGCCUCACUUCUACUUUAAAGGGCUUGCACGGCGAUACGCGCGGAGACACACACACACAACAAGGCACGCAGAGAAACAUGAAUUGAAGAACAAAGCUAAGGCCUGGGGAAGUGAAGGUUAUUUUCUUGUUCUCGCUCUCUCCCCCUCUAUUUUACUCUCGCUCUCUAAUCUCUCACUCCCUCUUAAAUGGACAAUGCACCGGCUGGUUACGGUGUCGGGCGAGGUAAGAGUUACGUAAGGAUGAUCAACGCCACCUAAUCAGCUUUAGGAGGUCCACUUAACGAGCUGAGGUAGGCAGGGAGGGAGAAGGUGGAGGGACGGAGCAGUGCGGGGUUGUGGCAUGGGCAGUGGAAUACAGAGAGUAUGGGUGAGAAUGGCUAAAGAACAGAAGAGGGGGAAAUAAGUGGAGUAUAGGAGAAAAAGAAAAAAUAUGCAGUAACACUGCAUGUGUCCAGCCAUUGUGUCUCUGUUUUAUGAUGCACACGCACACGUGCACACACUCACUCACACGUUAUGCACUGCUCUCUUUGUCACUCACAAAACGGACUCCCAUGCUGGUCUGUGUGUGUGUGUGUGUGGGGGGGGGGGGGGGGUUGUAGGCAAAUAGAGCUUGCAGAUGUGUACUUGCAGUCACUGCCCCUUAUGUAUGCACUAAUAUGGGUCAAAGGACAGGCUCAUACUCCUGCCUGUGUGCACUUGCAACUGGUGUGUGUGUGUGUGUGUCAUUCUGUGGAUGUCUGUAGAGGUAAAGCAGGACUAGAGAGUACAAGACGUGCGUGUGUGUGCUGCGUACACAAAACGAUUUGAUUCUGAGUGACGGUUGCUUAUUGCCAUACCAACAGUGCUCUGACCUUUCUCUGAGCAAUUAAAGCCACUAACAGGCUCUCUGAAGUACAUCUCCUUUGUUUAAAGUACUGCAUACACAGCUUCUACUGAAUUAUAGCAUUUGCGGUGCUCUGACAAUUUCAUUUUUGGUUCUUGCUCACGGUGUGUUUAGGAUUCUUGUUUUAAACGGCAAGUCUCAGUUGAAUUCCAUUCCUUCUUGGAUGCCUUCUGAUGGUAGGGCACAGCAUUUACAAAACCACAAAGCUCAUAUUUGUUAGCAUUCUCUGAGGGAAAUUGGGCUUAAUUAUAAUCUUCUUGGUGAUUUCAUAUUCUCCUCCAUCGUGAUGGCAGACAUGUUGGUCUGCUGCCUGUGCAGCCACCAAGACAGUGGUGCUCCAACUUGUGGGGUUCUAGUGAUAGAAAAUGUAUUGGCUGCUUUACACAGACAGAAUAGUAUGUGGACGUAGACAGGGCUUUUGGUCUUUCAAUGUGGCUAAAUUUAGCGACGGCAGAAUAAUGGCAGGAAAAGGCUCAGGCCUGGACUGAGGGGGGAGUGAGGGAGGGAGGGAUGGAUGGAGGGGAGACGAGAAGCAGAGGAAGGAAUCCGUUGCCGGCACUGGGUGAAAUGGCGUGUAUUUCUGGCGUGUUGCGUGCACCCUGCUGACGCACUGGGGCCACUGGGGGCUCAAACAAAGUCAACAAAAACCUGCCUGUGUGUGUGUGUGUGUGUGUGUGUGUGUGUGUGUGUGUGUGUGUGUGUGUGUGUGUGUGUGUGUGUGUGUGUGUGUGUGUGUGUGUGUGUGUGUGUGUGUGUGUGUGUGUGUGUGUGUGACGCGCAUGGCGGGAACAGAUUGCUCCUAGCAAACUGCAGACGAGGGACGAUGAAGAGGUGGGUAGCGGCGCUGGGGUCGCUGAGCCGUGCCCGAGAGAGGGAGGCGCUGCAGCCACGCACACAGAGAAGUGGGUCAGGAAAACACUCUCACCACAAAGUCAUCAGGAUGCUCCUUUUGCACUUUUCUGUUUACAGACCAUAAUGUUUGUAAUACUUUGUCAGCAUGGUGUCCCCCGGUCUAGGAAUGGUGGGAUUCCAUUUCUGUCUUUCACGCCAACGUGUGUUUUCAACAGCCGCUGCCCGCUCUCUAUUCACAUGGAAAAUGGUCUUCUUCAUAUUUUGUUAUUUGUUAUUUGUUAUGGUAUUAUUUGGUAUUUUAAGAUUAUUGUAUUUAUGGGGGCUAGCGCUGUCUUGGCAGUCAGAAGAGUACACAAAAAAAAAAAGGGUUAAACUAUGCAAAUAAAUAACUGGUAGUCAACUGCCGAAUAACUAACUAUUGUAUGUUCAGACUGUUUCCAGUGUUUGAUGCUCAAAUAAAACACUGGGAACAAAAUGCAACUAAUGUGUUAAUCUGUAACAGCUAUUAGAUGGGGUUAACACACUCAAAGCAUGUUUGUUUUCAUAGUAGUAUUAGAAGUUUAAUUACGUUCAUGCGAAAGCCAGCCUUCCUCUACCAUUGUCAUCCCUUUCUCUAAACUACGUUGUACGUACCUAUCUUUGGCCCAAAAGUAAAAUUGUUUGAUAUAGGGAGUAUGUCUUCAUUAAAAAAAAAACGUUCAUAGUAUAGUUAACAAAAGAGAGGACGCAGAAGCUUGUUUCAAACGGCCAAGAUUAGGGUUUGCAGUGCACCCGAAUAAAAGACAUGAUGUAUGUAAAACGAGGUUGAAACAUAUCAAAGGACGAACCCACGUCUCCUUUCCUCUCACGGGCCGUGGUGAUGCAAGGCCUGGGCGGCAGCCUGCUCCGGCCAUAAUCAGAGUAAUGACCCGUCCAUUAGUGCUGCGGAGGCUGGAAAUUGCUCCCAGCCUCGGUGUCACCUUUUCCCCCAGGCGGCAGGAAGGUGUCAGGGACAACAGAUCCUGUUGGUAGGCCUCUCUCCGCUCCCCUGUUUACUCAUCACCCCGGGGGGCUGUUUAGAAAGACGGGACACUGGCUCUCUCCACCCUCAGACCCAGCCUUUCCCAGAGGCACACCCACUCUACCUGCAAGGUGUGUGUGUGUGUGUGUGUGUGUGUGUGUGUGUGUGUGUGUGUGUGUGUGUGUGUGUGUGUGUGUGUGUGUGUGUGUGUGUGUGUGUGUGUGUGUGUGUGUGUGUGUGUGUGUGUGUGUGUGUGUGCACCCCCCCAUGUCUCCAUGUGUGUGAGUUUGCAUAUCUGUGUGUGUGUGCAUGUGAGGGGUGUAAUAUAGAUGGUGAGUAUCGCCAUGCAAGUUGUCGCAAGAAUAGUGAGAACAACAGCUCUCCCCAGGGCCGGUUACCAACCCCAUACUCACGUGGAGUUGAAACAACACUUCAGCACUCAUAACAAGACCUACACACGCACGCACGCGUACACAAACACACACGCAAAGCAUAUAUUUAUAGAUAUUAUACUUGCUGAGAACACUUUAUUGACUUGUAAUUCUUAUUUUUAGGUUGCAUUCAGCGGGACACUGCCAACGUGUUAGGGUUUAUUCAAUAUAUCAAAGGUGUCAGUCAAAUAUACCCCCCUAGCUGGAAAGUAGGGCCGAAUACACUAUCCUGUUGGGACUGAUUGUUCAGGUCAGGUGGCCGUAUCCCUCUCUUCCACCAACCUCCAGCCCUGGUCUCUGCACCCUGCUCUCAGAAUGGUAAUCUGUGUUGGAAUGUGCUGGCUUCAGACAAAGCAUGCCUGGCCCCAGUAGUGAUGCACAACAUGUCCAAGUCAUGCGCCUACUCCAGUAUGAAUUACUAUGAAAAAUAUCCACCUGCAGACACUGCAUUGUGAUAUUGACAGUCACAUUCUUGCAUUUUUUUGUUUGCAUAUAAUGCAUAUAAAUGGUGAGGUUAACAUCGGUAGAAUGUGUUGAGCCUACGUAUGCUAACCUUCGUUGAAAGGUCCACAGUAGGAGAGCCAGUGGGUGUCUGUUUAACACAGUUGGAUUGAAAAUACAAAAAUACCAGUCACGACACCUCGAUCGCUAACAUGGGCUGCAGCCGCGUGACCAAAAAAAUCAUCUGCUUCAUAACGUUGUUAACAUGGACCUCCGUGUUUAGAGAGAGCGAGAGAGAGAGCUGUAACAUUAUUCUCUGCGUGGCAUGUUGUGUUUAGUUGUUGUCGUGCCAGCUUGUUACCGAAGUGCUGCUGGGCUUGGUUUAAUUCUUACGUGUGGGUCACCUUGAGCCUCACGGGGUGAAACUGUUCUCUCUCAUCCCGUGUGCACACACACACACUCAAGCACUGACACACACACACAAACUUGUGCACACACACACACACACACACACACACACACACACACACACACACACACACACACACACACACACACACACACACACACACACACACACACACACACACACACACACACACACACACACACACACACACACACACACACACACACACAGAGAGAGAGAGAAAAACACAAAAA